AGUAUAUGACUACUGAUUGAGAUGAACAUUCUGAAAGAAACUCCAUGGGAACAUGAAUGGAAUUUUAAAAGAAGACUUAAUAUCGAUUUGAGAGUCAAGGACUGACUCUGAGAAAAGGAAUUUAAGACUUAGGCAAUGGCAGCAUUUAAGUAGACAGAGACAAGAAAAAAAUACUGUCAGUUUCUUAACCUGGGACCUAUAACAAGGCUGCUCACAGAAAAGGAACUAUCUCCAGUUUCACUGGGUGCCCUGGAUUCAUAGAUGGACAAAGCUUUCUCUUGUCAAGAUCUUGUCUUUCAACUCUGUUGGAUAGCAUAUUUAUCUUAGUUUCAGCCUUGAAUUCUCACUUGGACAUAUUCUAUUUCCCUACCAGAGUGUAACCCCAAUAUAAGGACUGACAGUCAAGCUCUACUACACCUCUUAGCCAGUUUCUCCAGAUAAUAACGAAUACCAUACACAUUCACAGGCCAUGUUCUAAAGGAUUCUCAGAAGGUACACCACUUUGAAUUUAUCUAUUCUCCUUCUCUUAUGCUAAAUUUUGCUAGUAGAAAUGUGUGACUUAGGUUAUUAAACCUCUCAAUGUGUCCUCAAUUAAAAUUCAAAAGUUUCUAUGAAGAAAAGC
rnacentral:lncRNA from 1 species